UACUUGUACCAGUACUGCUCCGAAUCCC
rnacentral:sRNA from 1 species